rnacentral:snoRNA from 1 species
UUAGCAUGUGAUGAGAAGUCAGACAAGAACAUCUGCAUUGCCCCUGAAUCAAAUCAAGGUGCAACAACAUGAUGACUUAUGUCUAGGGGAAUCUCUGAUGCUAU